GAAGGCUUAGGAUAGACAAAAACCGAGAGCCUUCAAAGCUCUAGACAGAAGUGGAAACCUUCUAGCCAUCG
rnacentral:tRNA from 1 species